rnacentral:misc_RNA from 1 species
GAUGAAGAAACGCAGCGAAAUGCGAUAAGUAAUGUGAAUUGCAGAAUUCAGUGAAUCAUCGAAUCUUUGAACGCACAUUGCGCCCGCCAGCAUUCUGGCGGGCAUGCCUGUUCGAGCGUCAUUUCAACCCUCAAGCUCUGCUUGGUGUUGGGGCCCUACGGUUGACGUAGGCCCUUAAAGGUAGUGGCGGACCCUCUCGGAGCCUCCUUUGCGUAGUAACUAACGUCUCGCAUUGGGAUUCGGAGGGACUCUUGCCGUAAAACCCCCAAAUUUUCUAAUGGUUGACCUCGGAUCAGGUAGGAAUACCCGCUGAACUUAAGCAUAUCAAUAAGCGGAGGA